GCGAGGGUGGGGGGAGGAAGAGACAGUGCCUCGAUAAACUCCAAAAGGGGAGGGGAGGGGGCGCUGGGCGAGUGGGCUUCCUAUAAUUACUAUUAUCAAUUUGCCCGAGUGUGCUUCAUCCAGGGGCUGUUUCGCGUUGUUUGUUUGUUUGUUUCCUCUGGGAAUUGGGGGGUGGGGGGAUGAGAAAAGAUGAGAGCGAAAAGAAAACCUCGCCUCACCCCAAGUUCCCGAGCCGGGGGCUGAGGACUUUUCGAAGGAAAGGGUCCGCCUAGCCCUGAGUCAAGCGGUCUUACUGUACCGCCGUGUGCAUUCCCUCAUACGAUCGAGCCUGCGUGCUGCCGAAGCAGGGCGCCGAGUCCAUGCGAACUGCCAUCUGAUCCGCUCUUAUCAAUGAAGCAGCCGAUCAUGGCGGAUGGCCCCCGGUGCAAGAGGCGCAAACAAGCCAAUCCCAGGAGGAAAAACGAGGUUACCUUUUCCCGAUGGUGCAAAAUCGACUUGACAUAACUGUUCAUCAGUUUCAGGGUUUUCCCUGGAGGUAUUUGCGUCAAAUCAGCCCAGUCAAGCUUCAAGUUGAAAUUGGCAGGCCAGAAACUCACAGGGUAGAGACUGGAAAAGAGACAGCCAAAGUACAGGCAGCAAACUGACAGCAGCAGAGUGAAAGACAGAGGGGUGGGGGGAGGUUGAGAGCGAGAGCUUUUCAACUUUAGUGUGCGGGAAAUCUCAGCUCCUCCUGUACUGAUCUCAGCAGCACCAUAUCCUGAAGGAGCUUGAAAGGUUGAGAUUCAGAACACCUUCAGCUAAUUCUUACCACUAGGGCUCACCAGCCUUGCUCCGGGGGUUUGCUCUCACUUAAUCUGAUUGGAUGCCUAAAGAGGAGUGGGCACACUUAAUUAAACGGAAGGAAAGUUCUGAGGCACCUCCCCAGCACUUAUUAAAGCUUGAAAGCCAAAUCUCAUGAUCAGUGUUAUAGGAGGAAAUUAAGGUGGUUUGGUGUUUUUUUUUGUUUUUGUUUUUUUUUUUUUCUAAUUGUUAACUUGUAGGAAAGUGAACAAUCCCUCUCUUUACCAGGUUUGUUUUCUUGGGGGUUCUCUUCUGAGUAGAUUAAAUGUUCACAGAGACUAGAGCGCAGGGGACUGUCCAUUCAAAAGCUAAUGCAUUUUGGCUAACAAAAAGCCAGUACAAGUAGCAAAAAUUAUAUUUGAAGAGAUACUCCUUUGAAUGACAUGGGUUUGCAAGUUCUCUGUCAAAUAAUGCCCUACUAUCCUGGUAAUAUGAGAACACGUAUUAAGUUGUUUAAAAGGUCAAAAAACAUGGCAAAACCUUAAGAUGUCUAAGAUACUCAACUUUUACUCUCAACAAGGUCACUUUAAGAAAAAUUCUAUGAUUGCAAAACUUUUAUAAUUGCUUUUACAAAGAAAACAAAUAUGAAAAGUGUUUCCU
rnacentral:sRNA from 1 species